rnacentral:rRNA from 2 species
AUGCUGGAGGUAUCAGAAGUGCGAAUGCUGACAUAAGUAACGAUAAAGCGGGUGAAAAGCCCGCUCGCCGGAAGACCAAGGGUUCCUGUCCAACGUUAAUCGGGGCAGGGUGAGUCGACCCCUAAGGCGAGGCCGAAAGGCGUAGUCGAUGGGAAACAGGUUAAUAUUCCUGUACUUGGUGUUACUGCGAAGGGGGGACGGAGAAGGCUAUGUUGGCCGGGCGACGGUUGUCCCGGUUUAAGCGUGUAGGCUGGUUUUCCAGGCAAAUCCGGAAAAUCAAGGCUGAGGCGUGAUGACGAGGCACUACGGUGCUGAAGCAACAAAUGCCCUGCUUCCAGGAAAAGCCUCUAAGCAUCAGGUAACAUCAAAUCGUACCCCAAACCGACACAGGUGGUCAGGUAGAGAAUACCAAGGCGCUUGAGAGAACUCGGGUGAAGGAACUAGGCAAAAUGGUGCCGUAACUUCGGGAGAAGGCACGCUGAUAUGUAGGUGAAGUCCCUCGCGGAUGGAGCUGAAAUCAGUCGAAGAUACCAGCUGGCUGCAACUGUUUAUUAAAAACACAGCACUGUGCAAACACGAAAGUGGACGUAUACGGUGUGACGCCUGCCCGGUGCCGGAAGGUUAAUUGAUGGGGUCAGCGCAAGCGAAGCUCUUGAUCGAAGCCCCGGUAAACGGCGGCCGUAACUAUAACGGUCCUAAGGUAGCGAAAUUCCUUGUCGGGUAAGUUCCGACCUGCACGAAUGGCGUAAUGAUGGCCAGGCUGUCUCCACCCGAGACUCAGUGAAAUUGAACUCGCUGUGAAGAUGCAGUGUACCCGCGGCAAGACGGAAAGACCCCGUGAACCUUUACUAUAGCUUGACACUGAACAUUGAGCCUUGAUGUGUAGGAUAGGUGGGAGGCUUAGAAGUGUGGACGCCAGUCUGCAUGGAGCCGACCUUGAAAUACCACCCUUUAAUGUUUGAUGUUCUAACGUGGACCCGUGAUCCGGGUUGCGGACAGUGUCUGGUGGGUAGUUUGACUGGGGCGGUCUCCUCCUAAAGAGUAACGGAGGAGCACGAAGGUUGGCUAAUCCUGGUCGGACAUCAGGAGGUUAGUGCAAUGGCAUAAGCCAGCUUGACUGCGAGCGUGACGGCGCGAGCAGGUGCGAAAGCAGGUCAUAGUGAUCCGGUGGUUCUGAAUGGAAGGGCCAUCGCUCAACGGAUAAAAGGUACUCCGGGGAUAACAGGCUGAUACCGCCCAAGAGUUCAUAUCGACGGCGGUGUUUGGCACCUCGAUGUCGGCUCAUCACAUCCUGGGGCUGAAGUAGGUCCCAAGGGUAUGGCUGUUCGCCAUUUAAAGUGGUACGCGAGCUGGGUUUAGAACGUCGUGAGACAGUUCGGUCCCUAUCUGCCGUGGGCGCUGGAGAACUGAGGGGGGCUGCUCCUAGUACGAGAGGACCGGAGUGGACGCAUCACUGGUGUUCGGGUUGUCAUGCCAAUGGCACUGCCCGGUAGCUAAAUGCGGAAGAGAUAAGUGCUGAAAGCAUCUAAGCACGAAACUUGCCCCGAGAUGAGUUCUCCCUGACCCUUUAAGGGUCCUGAAGGAACGUUGAAGACGACGACGUUGAUAGGCCGGGUGUGUAAGCGCAGCGAUGCGUUGAGCUAACCGGUACUAAUGAACCGUGAGGCUUAACCUUACAACGCCGAAGCUGUU